GGGGUUGUGGUUUAGUGGUAUAACGUUCGCUUAGCAUGCGAAAGGUCCGGGGUUCGAUUCCCCGCAACUCCA
rnacentral:tRNA from 1 species